rnacentral:rRNA from 1 species
UACGAAGGGGGCUAGCGUUGCUCGGAAUCACUGGGCGUAAAGGGUGCGUAGGCGGGUCUUUAAGUCAGGGGUGAAAUCCUGGAGCUCAACUCCAGAACUGCCUUUGAUACUGAGGAUCUUGAGUAUGGGAGAGGUGAGUGGAAUUGCGAGUGUAGAGGUGAAAUUCGUAGAUAUUCGCAAGAACACCAGUGGCGAAGGCGACUCACUGGCCCAUUACUGACGCUGAGGCACGAAAGCGUGGGGAGCAAACAGG